GGUUAAGCGACUAAGCGUACACGGUGGAUGCCCUGGCAGUCAGAGGCGAUGAAGGACGUGCUAAUCUGCGAAAAGCGCCGGCGAGGUGAUAUGAACCUUUGACCCGGCGAUGUCCGAAUGGGGAAACCCAGUGCAAUCCGUUGCACUAUCGUUAACUGAAUACAUAGGUUAACGAGGCGAACCGGGGGAACUGAAACAUCUAAGUACCCCGAGGAAAAGAAAUCAACCGAGAUUCCCCCAGUAGCGGCGAGCGAACGGGGAGCAGCCCGGAGUCUGAAUCAGCUUGUGUGUUAGUGGAACGGUCUGGAAAGUCCGACGGUACAGGGUGAUAGUCCCGUACACGAAAGCACACUUGCUGUGAACUCGAAGAGUAGGGCGGGACACGUGGUAUCCUGUCUGAAUAUGGGGGGACCAUCCUCCAAGGCUAAAUACUCCUGACUGACCGAUAGUGAACCAGUACCGUGAGGGAAAGGCGAAAAGAACCCCGGCGAGGGGAGUGAAAAAGAACCUGAAACCGUGUACGUACAAGCAGUGGGAGCCUCUUUAUGGGGUGACUGCGUACCUUUUGUAUAAUGGGUCAGCGACUUAUAUUCUGUAGCAAGGUUAACCGUAUAGGGGAGCCGAAGGGAAACCGAGUCUUAACUGGGCGUUAAGUUGCAGGGUAUAGACCCGAAACCCGGUGAUCUAGCCAUGGGCAGGUUGAAGGUUGGGUAACACUAACUGGAGGACCGAACCGACUAAUGUUGAAAAAUUAGCGGAUGACCUGUGGCUGGGGGUGAAAGGCCAAUCAAACCGGGAGAUAGCUGGUUCUCCCCGAAAGCUAUUUAGGUAGCGCCUCGUGAACUCAUCUUCGGGGGUAGAGCACUGUUUCGGCUAGGGGGCCAUCCCGGCUUACCAACCCGAUGCAAACUACGAAUACCGAAGAAUGUUAUCACGGGAGACACACGGCGGGUGCUAACGUCCGUCGUGAAGAGGGAAACAACCCAGACCGCCAGCUAAGGUCCCAAAGUCAUGGUUAAGUGGGAAACGAUGUGGGAAGGCACAGACAGCCAGGAUGUUGGCUUAGAAGCAGCCAUCAUUUAAAGAAAGCGUAAUAGCUCACUGGUCGAGUCGGCCUGCGCGGAAGAUGUAACGGGGCUAAACCAUGCACCGAAGCUGCGGCAGCGACGCUUAUGCGUUGUUGGGUAGGGGAGCGUUCUGUAAGCCGUUGAAGGUGUCCUGUGAGGGGUGCUGGAGGUAUCAGAAGUGCGAAUGCUGACAUAAGUAACGAUAAAGCGGGUGAAAAGCCCGCUCGCCGGAAGACCAAGGGUUCCUGUCCAACGUUAAUCGGGGCAGGGUGAGUCGACCCCUAAGGCGAGGCCGAAAGGCGUAGUCGAUGGGAAACAGGUUAAUAUUCCUGUACUUGGUGUUACUGCGAAGGGGGGACGGAGAAGGCUAUGUCAGCCGGGCGACGGUUGUCCCGGUUUAAGCAUGUAGGCGGAGGUUCCAGGUAAAUCCGGUACCUUAUUAACGCUGAGGUGUGAUGACGAGGCACUACGGUGCUGAAGUGAUAAAUGCCCUGCUUCCAGGAAAAGCCUCUAAGCAUCAGGUAACACGAAAUCGUACCCCAAACCGACACAGGUGGUCAGGUAGAGAAUACCAAGGCGCUUGAGAGAACUCGGGUGAAGGAACUAGGCAAAAUGGUGCCGUAACUUCGGGAGAAGGCACGCUGAUAUGUAGGUGAAGUCCCUGCGGACGGAGCUGAAAUCAGUCGAAGAUACCAGCUGGCUGCAACUGUUUAUUAAAAACACAGCACUGUGCAAACACGAAAGUGGACGUAUACGGUGUGACGCCUGCCCGGUGCCGGAAGGUUAAUUGAUGGGGUUAGCGGCAACGCGAAGCUCUUGAUCGAAGCCCCGGUAAACGGCGGCCGUAACUAUAACGGUCCUAAGGUAGCGAAAUUCCUUGUCGGGUAAGUUCCGACCUGCACGAAUGGCGUAAUGAUGGCCAGGCUGUCUCCACCCGAGACUCAGUGAAAUUGAACUCGCUGUGAAGAUGCAGUGUACCCGCGGCAAGACGGAAAGACCCCGUGAACCUUUACUAUAGCUUGACACUGAACACUGGUCCUUGAUGUGUAGGAUAGGUGGGAGGCUUUGAAGCGUGGACGCCAGUCUGCGUGGAGCCAACCUUGAAAUACCACCCUUUAAUGGCUGGUGUUCUAACGUAGACCCGUAAUCCGGGUUGCGGACAGUGUCUGGUGGGUAGUUUGACUGGGGCGGUCUCCUCCCAAAGAGUAACGGAGGAGCACGAAGGUUGGCUAAUCCUGGUCGGACAUCAGGAGGUUAGUGCAAUGGCAUAAGCCAGCUUGACUGCGAGCGUGACGGCGCGAGCAGGUGCGAAAGCAGGUCAUAGUGAUCCGGUGGUUCUGAAUGGAAGGGCCAUCGCUCAACGGAUAAAAGGUACUCCGGGGAUAACAGGCUGAUACCGCCCAAGAGUUCAUAUCGACGGCGGUGUUUGGCACCUCGAUGUCGGCUCAUCACAUCCUGGGGCUGAAGUAGGUCCCAAGGGUAUGGCUGUUCGCCAUUUAAAGUGGUACGCGAGCUGGGUUUAGAACGUCGUGAGACAGUUCGGUCCCUAUCUGCCGUGGGCGCUGGAGAAUUGAGGGGGGCUGCUCCUAGUACGAGAGGACCGGAGUGGACGCAUCACUGGUGUUCGGGUUGUCAUGCCAAUGGCACUGCCCGGUAGCUAAAUGCGGAAGAGAUAAGUGCUGAAAGCAUCUAAGCACGAAACUUGCCCCGAGAUGAGUUCUCCCUGAGACUUUAAGUCUCCUGAAGGAACGUUGAAGACGACGACGUUGAUAGGUCGGGUGUGUAAGCGCAGCGAUGCGUUGAGCUAACCGAUACUAAUGAACCGUGAGGCUUAACCUU
rnacentral:rRNA from 1 species